GACGAACGCUGGCGGCGUGCUUAACACAUGCAAGUCGAACGGAAAGGCCCUGCUUUUGUGGGGUGCUCGAGUGGCGAACGGGUGAGUAACACGUGAGUAACCUGCCCUUGACUUUGGGAUAACUUCAGGAAACUGAGGCUAAUACCGGAUAGGAGCUCCUGCUGCAUGGUGGGGGUUGGAAAGUUUCGGCGGUUGGGGAUGGACUCGCGGCUUAUCAGCUUGUUGGUGGGGUAGUGGCUUACCAAGGCUUUGACGGGUAGCCGGCCUGAGAGGGUGACCGGCCACAUUGGGACUGAGAUACGGCCCAGACUCCUACGGGAGGCAGCAGUGGGGAAUAUUGCACAAUGGGCGGAAGCCUGAUGCAGCAACGCCGCGUGCGGGAUGACGGCCUUCGGGUUGUAAACCGCUUUCGCCUGUGACGAAGCGUGAGUGACGGUAAUGGGUAAAGAAGCACCGGCUAACUACGUGCCAGCAGCCGCGGUGAUACGUAGGGUGCGAGCGUUGUCCGGAUUUAUUGGGCGUAAAGGGCUCGUAGGUGGUUGAUCGCGUCGGAAGUGUAAUCUUGGGGCUUAACCCUGAGCGUGCUUUCGAUACGGGUUGACUUGAGGAAGGUAGGGGAGAAUGGAAUUCCUGGUGGAGCGGUGGAAUGCGCAGAUAUCAGGAGGAACACCAGUGGCGAAGGCGGUUCUCUGGGCCUUUCCUGACGCUGAGGAGCGAAAGCGUGGGGAGCGAACAGGCUUAGAUACCCUGGUAGUCCACGCUGUAAACGGUGGGUACUAGGUGUGGGGUCCAUUCCACGGGUUCCGUGCCGUAGCUAACGCUUUAAGUACCCCGCCUGGGGAGUACGGCCGCAAGGCUAAAACUCAAAGGAAUUGACGGGGCCCCGCACAAGCGGCGGAGCAUGCGGAUUAAUUCGAUGCAACGCGUAGAACCUUACCUGGGUUUGACAUGGAUCGGGAGUGCUCAGAGAUGGGUGUGCCUCUUUUGGGGUCGGUUCACAGGUGGUGCAUGCCUGUCGUCAGCUCGUGUCGUGAGAUGUUGGGUUAAGUCCCGCAACGAGCGCAACCCUUGUUCACUGUUGCCAGCACGUUAUGGUGGGGACUCAGUGGAGACCGCCGGGGUCAACUCGGAGGAAGGUGGGGAUGACGUCAAGUCAUCAUGCCCCUUAUGUCCAGGGCUUCACGCAUGCUACAAUGGCUGGUACAGAGAGUGGCGAGCCUGUGAGGGUGAGCGAAUCUCGGAAAGCCGGUCUCAGUUCGGAUUGGGGUCUGCAACUCGACCUCAUGAAGUCGGAGUCGCUAGUAAUCGCAGAUCAGCAACGCUGCGGUGAAUACGUUCCCGGG
rnacentral:rRNA from 1 species